CCUACGGGAGGCUGCAGUGGGGAAUAUUGGACAAUGGGCGAAAGCCUGAUCCAGCCAUGCCGCGUGUGUGAAGAAGGCCUUCGGGUUGUAAAGCACUUUCAGUGGGGAAGAAAGCCUUGGGGCUAAUACCCUCGAGGAAGGACAUCACCCACAGAAGAAGCACCGGCUAACUCCGUGCCAGCAGCCGCGGUAAUACGGAGGGUGCGAGCGUUAAUCGGAAUUACUGGGCGUAAAGCGCGCGUAGGCGGUCUGAUAAGCCGGUUGUGAAAGCCCCGGGCUCAACCUGGGAACGGCAUCCGGAACUGUCAGGCUAGAGUGCAGGAGAGGAAGGUAGAAUUCCCGGUGUAGCGGUGAAAUGCGUAGAGAUCGGGAGGAAUACCAGUGGCGAAGGCGGCCUUCUGGACUGACACUGACGCUGAGGUGCGAAAGCGUGGGUAGCAAACAGGAUUAGAUACCCCCGGUAGUC
rnacentral:rRNA from 1 species